UACUCGAGUGGCGAACGGGUGAGUAACACGUGGGUGAUCUGCCCUGCACUUCGGGAUAAGCUCGGGAAACUGGGUCUAAUACCGGAUAGGAGCCAUCUUUAGUGUGGUGGUUGGAAAGUUUUUUCGGUGUAGGAUGAGCUCGCGGCCUAUCAGCUUGUUGGUGGGGUAAUGGCCUACCAAGGCGGCGACGGGUAGCCGGCCUGAGAGGGUGUACGGCCACAUUGGGACUGAGAUACGGCCCAG
rnacentral:rRNA from 1 species